rnacentral:rRNA from 1 species
AUGGCGGGGCUCGCCGGAGUGGCUAUAGCACGGAACUUUUUGCAGGAGGUGAUGGUGGCUCAUGUCGCCCAUGUCCACGAGGCUGGCAACGAGCUCCGCAGGCUAGAGGUGUGCGCCCACCUGCCGGCGAGGCUCCUCGUGGUGCUACCGUCGUCGAUGGAGCGCGCGCGCGAGGAGACCGUCCAUCGACAUGGUGUGUUGGAAGGACGAAGGAGCAUGCCGUGA